rnacentral:lncRNA from 1 species
GGAAACUGGAUGUUCUCCUAAAACAGCCACCUAGCCAAGCUGAACCAACAGAGAUGUAUUGAUCACCGGGUCAAUGGAACUAGGUGGGUGCUGGGGGGAAAGUCAGCAGGUAAGUCAGGUGAGGACUGCCUCCCUUCCACUCCCCACCCAGAGACUGAAGACAGACAGACAGACAGAGGCGUUCAUUCAGAAAGAAGUAGGAGGGCUUCAGGGAUUCAGCGGAGGAGACUGAAAGCCUGAGAGACGAUGCCUCUGAGAAGGUUACAGGAACCUGACAAGACUGACUAGCCAUCUCUAGCAUUCAGAUAGGUGGAACUUCAUUGUGCUGAAGUUAUGUUUGAGCACCCUCUGCUGGACAAAUCAGGUAAGUACAGGAUUUUUUUUUUUUUUUUUGGUCUUGUGCCUUUUAAAUUCAUGCUCCGAAGAAGAGAAGAUUUUUAUCUCGAAUCUACACUAAAAGAAGUCUCCUCUUUAAACAGAUGCUCUAUGACUACCAACAAUGUACCAGUGGUAUUCGUCUCUUGCAGAUCUGGAAGAAAAUGAAAUUUAGAUGUGAGCGAGCAGUCUCCUUCCUGCUGCUGCAGCUGCAAGCUGCUCCUGCCGCCCAUGCCUUCUCUACUGCCAUGCCUUCCCUACCACAAGGGCCAGAACUCUCACACUGAAAGCCAGAAUAAAUCCUUCCUCUCUUCGGUUGGUUGUUGUCAGGAGAAGGCAGCAGCUGGCAUCAAUGGUGUGGUGAGGAGAGAAUCAAGUUUCCUUCUCCAGUUCAAACAGACGAAAGUGAAGCGACAUAGGCUCAAGGACAGGGUCACUGGGCUAGCGCCACACCAUGGAGCCAAACCCCGAGCCUUCUAAAUUGUGAGCUGGGCAUGGUGGUUCACCCCAGGAAUCGCAGCACUGAGGGAUGAAGGCGAGAGAGUCACUGUGGGUGUGACAUCAGUCUGGCCUGAAGUCUGAGACUGUUUUUUUAAAAAGAAAACAUUUUUUUAUGUCAUAUAUUUAAUUAUAUAAAGAUUCUGUUGUUUUGUUGUUGUUGUUGUUAAAAUUCAGCCAGGAAAUUUCCAUCUGUCUGGUGUUAAUUGGUUGUUUUUCAGCACUAAUUGGGAAAUGAUAUAUUUUUAUUGUUUUAUAAAUAGAGUAAAACCCCUCAGAAACUGCUGGGGAAAUUUAAACAAGGAAAGCAAUUCUAUGUCCUUGCUUGACACCAGUUUGUCCCAGAGGUGACACAACUGUGUAGUUUUUGAAAACACUGGGCAUUUAUAUAUAUAUGAGACAAAACCCCACUGUAUAGCCCUGGCUAACUCGAAACUCACUAUGUAAAUCAGGCUGGGCUUUGACACACAGAGCUCUGCCUUUGCCUACUCAGUGUUGGGAUUUAACACCCACACCACCAUAGCCAGCCUUCUCUCCAAGGGGCAAAUUUCUUUCUGAAGCAACUUCCUCAUUUAUUAACAGUAUUGCUUCCAGACCCCGUGUGUGUGUGUGUGUGUGUGUGUGUGUGUGUGUGUGUGUGUACAGAUAUGUGUUUGCAAGUAUUUAGACACAAGUUGAUGCAGACUACACCAGUUUCAUGAAAUUGUUCCCAUGUCAGUGGCUAGUCUGAGCCUUUUGUACUUGUAAACAGCUGGCUGUAAACUGGGGAUUCCCAUACUCUCCUCUUCAGCCCCAUAAUUAUCAUGGUGAUUUGCAACCUGUAGGUAAUGACCCGUUUGGCUCAUAUAUCAGAUAUUCUGCAUGUCAGAUAUUUAUAUUUUGAUUCAUAACAAUAGUAAAAUUAUAGUUAUGAAGUAGUAAUGUAAAUAGUUACACUGUGGGGGUCACCACAACACGAGGAACUGUGUUAAAUGGCUUCAGCAAUAGGAAGGUUGAGAGCCACUGAUUUAUUAGGUCAUUUCAUGGAUCGUGGGGAUGCUUUCUACUUUCAUCUAUUGUUUAUUACAAAAGAUGUAGACAGACAGAUAGAUAGACAGACUCACAGAUAAAUAGAAAAAUAGAUGACAGAAAGAUAGAAAGUUAGGUAAAAAGAUAAAAAGAUAGGUAGAUGCUAGAAAGAUAGAUAGACUCAAAGACAAAUAGAAAGAUAGAUAAUAGAGAAAGGUGGAAAGAAAAAUAGAUAGAUGAUGGAAAGAUAGGUAGAUAGACUGACAGAAUGA